GAGAACCUAUGUAUAAUUAGUUUUAUCAUCUCAUACUUUGAGUUGAUAAUGAAUUGUAUUUGUACCAAAAUAGUAUGCAAUCCAAGAUACAGUAAAAAAAACCGUUAAUGCAUUUUCACAAAUAAGAGAUAAUUUGGAAUUCUUAUGUUAGGUUAGAGAUAUUAUUUGUUAAUUUAUCUUGAAGGAUGAUUCAAUGAUUUAAUAAAUAAUUAGGAGCUUUAAUGUCUAAAAUAGGUUUUCCACCUACUUUUACAUAGGUCAUGUUUGAAUUAUUAGUUUGCUCAGCUUUAAUCACGUAGCAUUAGAUUCAGAUGGGAAGAUUGUUAUAACAAUGAUAUAUUAGUUAAUGCACUAGAAUAAAACUUAAAGGCAAUCAUUUUGAACACAGAAAGAAGCAGGAUUAACCUAGUUAGAUUUUUGGUUUAUAUUGAUUGUCAGUCUGGAUUGAGAUCACGAAUUCUGUGUUCCAUUCUUUCCAUGAUAGAAAUAGGAGAUACACUUUUAUAUCUUUCAUUAAAUUUUUUAGUGACGGAAUGGUAAAUUUAUUUCUUCUUGGUCUUUGUUUGCAGCUUCAUAAUUUCUUCCAUUUCUUAUAUCUGUUCUUCUUCCUUGUUAAUAUUGGUUGUAAUUGGCAGGUCUGCAUAC
rnacentral:misc_RNA from 1 species